ensembl:lncRNA
UAACUCCCAGGUUAUUAUGCUGAAGGAAGCAUUUCUCCAUUUUUAUGAGAGGAAAUGAAUGUCAGUGUUGAACUCAACAUUAUCAAGUUUUGGAUAUGUUCUAAGCACAAAUUCAGUAAGUAACAGAGUCAGAUCUUUGUGACACUGAGAAAUAUAGAUGUUUAACCUGCAAAUCCCAGAUGACAACAGCUGUGACAGAAGUCCUAGACAGCUCAAGAACAGCAGAACCUAUGGAAGCUUUGCCAUGAAAYGUAACUGUUUAGUUAAUUGAAAUUCAAGAACAAAUGAAGGCAGAAAUUGAAAAUGAAAGAUCAUUAGUUAAAAGUCUGACUUCAGGACUGCAAGUACAAGAAAAUGAACUCAAAAAAACCAAACUGCCAGUGCAAAGGGAAACUGAAAAUAUAAUGCCUGAGGAGAAAAGAGAAUUCCGAAAGGACCAUCUUACAAAACAAAAGAAAGGGCUGACUGACAAGAUAACAUGUGUAGCAUCUGAUCAGGAAGCUGCUGAAAGAACACUGACUGCUGAAAAUGAUAAACUGAAGCAAUAUAAAGGUCCAGAAUGGCAAACCACAGAAAGAAAAACAACUGAGCAAAGAAAUAUAAUGUGGAAAAAGAAAUUCCAGAUUCUACAAAAGAGCCUGCAUGCCAUUAAGGAUGAGAUGUUUCUUAGACAAACCCUGCAACGUCGGUUGCUUGUGUUUAAAAGUACACCCYUCAGUGAGACAAUGUCUUUUCCUGUUUGUAUUGAAAAUGAAACACAAGAUGUGAAAGGAUUCAGAGGUGGCUUAUAUUUACCUUUAACUUUGAAGGCUAGAAAUGUCGUGGACGUAGAGAAAAUAGAUACGGCUACAUUUGAAAGGACUUAGAUCUAUUACAUUUGGUGGCAUUCUUGCUGGAGGUGACACUUUUAGAAGACCCAGAAUUCAGGUGGAGGAGUUUCUUCUGAGGGGAAAAAAUGAGUUCUCAGUUUCCAAAUCUUAAAGUAUCAUUGUCUCAAAUAGACACAAUUCAAGACACAGAAUCAGAAUUCUUGGAAGGAGCUUCUAAGAGAACACUUUAUUAUGACUAGGUACGUAGGGAUGUUUGCAACGUUUGUGUGUUUGUUUGUGACUCUUCUAGUUGAAUGUGAGGUGGUGUGUGUCCUUAGUAUGUAGAUAAAAGUCUGAUCGUUUCAAUGACUGGUGGUUUCAUGCAAAAAAACCCACUAGUUUUCUUUACUCUACAAAGACUAACAAACAAAUACGUGACCCUUUCAGAUACCAGCCAAGCAGGAACUUGUCCARCUAGACACUGUUAGUGGUAUUUAUUUCUUUAUUUAUUUAUUGGUAAUAGACAAUGUUUCUGGGAAUUUCUGCCAAGUGUCAUAUCAUCCAAAACAAAGAGUGCCCUUACUGUGGGAGUCUCCUCAUGAACCAAAUAUAAAACACAUUAGAUAGAACUAUAUAAUGUACAUGAAGUUGUGCUUGUUAUAUUCAACAGCUGAUGCUAAGUGCAAAUAAGCAGUUAUGAAGUUAAAGAAGAUUCAAUUGAAGAGACUUGAAAGCAGGGACAUAAACAACUCAUUUUGCUUGAGAGGACCAAGAUUAAAAACAAAGCUGUGCAAUAUUAGUUUUUUAUACCAUAUGAUUAUUGUUAAAGGAGGAUGUUCCCCAGUAAUUCAGCUUGAUCAUUUCAGCACAAGAAGAGCACAAUCUUCCAGCAGUCUUGCCUACCUGAAGUCCUURUCUCACUGUAUUACACAAAUGGAUCUCAGAAAAUGCGGCCAGUUUGAAGGUUUCUUUUGAAGCAAGUUUUGGUUGCUGUCUUUCAUGGUUGGAAAAUGACUCGGACAGAGGAGUCACCUCUUCUCGUGGAGGACAAUUUUAUGUGCUUAGCAGAGGUAUACAGGCUGUUUUUUCUUUCCUCCUUUUUUCACACAAAAAUUAUGACUCUGUCUGUACAAAAGGACUUCUGGGCUGUCUUCUUUUCUUAUCUCCUUUUCCCAACUUCUCAUAGGUACAGCAAACUGCUACUCUUUUGAGACUGAUUUGGAGAGCUGCUUGGUUAGCUGUUAUCUUCUUUCUCCCAGCAUUACUACAGUAAUUUCUGUCUAAGUUUUCUGCAGAUGAUAAAUAGAGGAAGACCCAGCAUAAUGGAUCUCAUGAUUCUUUGGUUGUCAAAAUGCAUUCUCUGACUCCAUUCCAUGCCCAGGAGCCAGAUGAUAUUUUAGCAAUCUUUGCAGUCUUUUGCUGUUCGAAGUCUCUGGUCAAGAGAGAAGCCAAUGGGUUUACAAAAAUAAAACACUAAUGCGAAUGCA